rnacentral:rRNA from 1 species
AAUUUUAGGCCUGGUUGGACGGUCUGCUCUAGGGUUUGUACUGUCCUUACUGGGUCUUACCUUCUGGUGAGCUGUCGUAUUGUUUACUCAGUGCGGCAGGGAACCAGGACUUUUACUUUGAAAAAAUUAGAGUGUUUAAAGCAGGCAUUCGCUUGAAUACAUUAGCAUGGAAUAAUAGAAUAGGACUUUGGUUCUAUUUUGUUGGUUUCUAGGACCGAAGUAAUGAUUAAUAGGGAUAGUUGGGGGCAUUAGUAUUUAAUUGUCAGAGGUGAAAUUCUUGGAUUUAUUAAAGACUAACUUCUGCGAAAGCAUUUGCCAAGGAUGUUUUCAUUAAUCAAGAACGAAAGUUAGGGGAUCGAAGACGAUCAGAUACCGUCGUAGUCUUAACCAUAAACUAUGCCGACUAGGGAUCAGGCAAGGAUAUUUUGACUUGUUUGGCACCUUAUGAGAAAUCAAAGUUUUUGGGUUCCGGGGGGAGUAUGGUCGCAAGGCUGAAACUUAAAGG